rnacentral:rRNA from 1 species
GACAGAGGGUGCAAACGUUGUUCGGAAUUACUGGGCGUAAAGCGAGUGUAGGCGGUCUUGUAAGUCGGAUGUGAAAGCCCCGGGCUCAACCCGGGAAGUGCACUCGAUACUGCGAGGCUAGAGUACUGGAGAGGUUGGUGGAAUUCUCGGUGUAGAGGUGAAAUUCGUAGAGAUCGGGAGGAACAUCUGUGGCGAAGGCGACUGCCUGGACCAGCACUGACACUGAGGCACGAAAGCGUGGGGAGCAAACAGG